GCCUUCGUGGUGGAAUUGUUAGCACGCUCGAAUCCUAUUCGAGAGGUCCGUGGUUCAAGUCCCGGCUGAGGCG
rnacentral:tRNA from 1 species